UAUAAUAUGUCAUUUAUACCGUAGACAGCAGGGGCCGUUAAGGCUUAAUAUCCUGCCGAGGUGUAUAUAUAUCACAGCUAUUACGUUACGUAUGCUUGUAUAUACAGCCUCCAUGUCCACAUGGAGGCUUUUUAUAUGAAAUC
rfam:Bacillus amyloliquefaciens FZB42, complete genome.